rnacentral:tmRNA from 1 species
GGGCCCGACCGGAAUUGACAGGAUGGCGGCAACUAUGUAAGCAUGCAGCGCGUUGUGAGACUAGCGCUUUAAUCUGAACUCUCAACUUUCAAAUGGCGAAAAUAACUACGCCUUAGCUGCCUAAUUUAGAAUUAGCAUAGCUUUUGUCCCGCUAAGUUCCGUUCUGUAGCUUAGCAUCAGGGGCAUCGAACAACAGAACUGGCCAGGGUUUAAUGAUGUAAUAACCCGGCAAGACAAAACAUCUAAGGAAACAGGUACAGGUAAUCGGCUGACCUUCCUCUUCCCGACAAUUAAACAGCAGAUAAGCAUGUAGAAAGCAUAAUUUGUUCCAUGUUUGGACGAGAGUUCGAAUCUCUCCGGGUCCACUU